AGCGAACGCUGGCGGCAGGCUUAACACAUGCAAGUCGAACGGGCACUUCGGUGCUAGUGGCAGACGGGUGAGUAACGCGUGGGAACGUACCUUUCGGUUCGGAAUAAUUCAGGGAAACUUGGACUAAUACCGGAUACGCCCUUCGGGGGAAAGAUUUAUCGCCGAUAGAUCGGCCCGCGUCUGAUUAGCUAGUUGGUGAGGUAAUGGCUCACCAAGGCGACGAUCAGUAGCUGGUCUGAGAGGAUGAUCAGCCACAUUGGGACUGAGACACGGCCCAAACUCCUACGGGAGGCAGCAGUGGGGAAUAUUGGACAAUGGGCGCAAGCCUGAUCCAGCCAUGCCGCGUGAGUGAUGAAGGCCUUAGGGUUGUAAAGCUCUUUUGUCCGGGAAGAUAAUGACUGUACCGGAAGAAUAAGCCCCGGCUAACUUCGUGCCAGCCGCCGCUGUAACAC
rnacentral:rRNA from 1 species